rnacentral:rRNA from 1 species
ACUGUUGGGACCGCCUCUGCUAAGAGGAGGAAGGAAUGGGCAACGGUAGGUCAGUAUGCCCCGAAUAUCCCGGGCUACACGCGAGCUACAAUGGUUGGUACAAUGGGUAUCUACCCCGAAAGGGGACGGGAAUCUCCUAAACCAAUCUUAGUUCGGAUUGAGGGCUGCAACUCGCCCUCAUGAAGCUGGAAUCCGUAGUAAUCGCGUUUCAACAGAACGCGGUGAAUACGUCCCUGCUCCUU